rnacentral:lncRNA from 1 species
AGGCAGCCGUCAGUGCAAAUGCGAGGACCAAGGCUGGGCAUGCAGGCUCCCAUCACCUCGCCUGAACAUCACCUGCUACAUGGCCGUGGGCGACUUCUCCAAGUUUGUACGUCCUCAUCUGCGUGACCGGGCUGAUGGCACCUCCAGCCCAGCACUGUAGGGAGCUCUAGGGGAAAUAACCUACAGGCCAUGGACAGUAGCUACAUUUUCAGACUGCUCAGAAUGCAAAUCCACCAGCCCUCAUUGCGUGACUUGGUGGGGGUCAGUCCAUCUUCCACCACAGAGGCCAAGGGCCAGAGCCCUGGGGUCCCACCUCCUGGCCCAGCACAGCCAGACAACCUCUGCACAGUCAGUCACCUGGAGUCUCCCACUUCCACAAGGGGCAGGAGGAGUCCCUCGUGCAGGAUGCCAUGGGAUAUUUGUGAGCCCGAGAUCUGCUGCCAGGCCACCGGGCAGAGGGCCGCUUCGGGUCCCAGCCCCAGAGGUGCCACACCUGAGCCUCACCUGCACUGAGCACGACCAGCGGACACCAGCCACGAGUAAACGGAGACGCCAGGGUGUUGUCGUGACCUAAGGCCACGUUAAGUCUGUGAAAUGAAGCAUCUGCAACUCUGUUUAAGGUUUUUAAAAAAAUCAUUUUCCUGACCCUGAAAGGAUUCAUUUGGAAGAAUAAAUCUGCAGAAACUGUGACACCCACAUGCCCUGUAGGGUCCAUGGCAGUGGGUGAGGAGUUUCAAGAGCCGAGUUCUUGUGAGAUGAGCCCCUGAGUAUUGCUUUUGAGAAGUUUGGCAACAAACAGAGCAGUACAUCAAGCGGCCUUUGUCUGCCGAUAUCCUUUAUGUAAAUGCUCCCACCGCCGCCAGCUUCAAGCCGCCAGUGCGAUGUCACCAAUGCGAUGUCGCUGAGUAUGCAUUGGAGAAGAGAUGCAAGCGGUGUUUCCACCAUCUAGAUAGAAAAGACAUAAACAUCUCAAGAGCAUGGAUAAUUGUAAAAUGUAUUAAAAUUAUUAGGAAGAGU